AGAAUGGACUUUUUAUCCAAGUGGCUGCAAUCAGUUUCUAAAGUAGAGGGAUCUGCAUCCUAAUGACAUAUCAGGAAUUGAUGGAGCUCCUGGGGAGAGCUUCCAUGAGGAGGUUGGGACUCUCAGAAGAGACACCAGAGGGGUGGCCACACAGAGAAAAAGAUCACAUGGGGACACAGUGAAAAGGCAGCCAUCAUAAGCCACAGAGAGAGGACUCACUCAGAAGAAACCAACUCUGCUGACACCUUCAUCUUGUACUUCUAGUCUCUAGACUAUUAGAAAAUAAAUUUCUAUUGUUAAGGCACCUAAUCUGUGGCAUUUUGUGAAGGCAGCCCUACCAAACUAAUACAAUUUUGUACACUAAAUCAUAUCCAAUUAAAUUUAAAUUUUAUAGAAACUGAAACAAAUAAUUUAAAGAUUUACUUAGUAAAUUACUUCAGAUUAGGUUCAUAUAUAUACAUGAUAUAUGAAAAUGUAAGAAAUGAAUAUUUCAAAAAGUAUACCAGAACUUAAAACUUCCAGUGUCUGUUUUUUUUUUUUUUUUUUUUUUUUUAAGUCACUUAUUCCAACAAUAAAACUGAUGCUCAAAAUA